rnacentral:rRNA from 1 species
UACGUAGGGUGCGAGCGUUAAUCGGAAUUACUGGGCGUAAAGCGUGCGCAGGCGGUUGGCAAAGUUAGCUGUGAAAGCCCCGGGCUCAACCUGGGAAUUGCGGUUGAAACUAGUCGACUAGAAUCUGGCAGAGGGGGGUGGAAUUCCACGUGUAGCAGUGAAAUGCGUAGAGAUGUGGAGGAACACCGAUGGCGAAGGCAGCCCCCUGGGCUGAGAUUGACGCUCAGGCACGAAAGCGUGGGGAGCGAACAGG